UACGUAGGGUGGCAAGCGUUGUCCGGAUUUACUGGGCGUAAAGAGCGCGCAGGCGGUCGAUCAAGUCGCGUGUGAAAGCCCCCGGCUCAACUGGGGAGGGUCACGCGAUACUGAUCGACUCGAAGGCAGGAGAGGGUAGUGGAAUUCCCGGUGUAGUGGUGAAAUGCGUAGAGAUCAGGCGGAACACCCGUGGCGAAGGCGGCCAGCUGGGCCGUCCCUGACGCUGAGGCGCG
rnacentral:rRNA from 1 species